UUCGCCUGAGGCUCCCGGCAUGCUUAGCUGACUCGCAGACGACUUUUCCCCUCCUCACAGGUCUUCUAGCCGAUCUCGCCAUGUUCAGCAAGAAGAAGAAACGCAUCGAGAUCUCCGCUCCCUCCAACUUCGAGCACCGCGUCCACACCGGCUACGACCAGCAGGAGCAGAAGUUCACCGGGCUGCCGCGGCCAUAAAAACCCCCGUUGCCAUCCCCGCCAUCCAGCACGGCUCGCAGAAGGUAGGCGGCUUCGCGGGGGCUGGCGGGGUUGGGGGGCUCCUGCUCUCUGCCCUCCUCUUGAGCGUGGAGGCGCCUGCUCCCCGUGAUUUAUUCGGUCCUCCU
rnacentral:lncRNA from 1 species